GACGAAGGGGGCUAGCGUUGUCCGGAAUUAUUGGGCGUAAAGAGCUCGUAGGCGGUUUGUCGUGUCGUUCGUGAAAACUCCACGCUUAACGUGGAGCGUGCGGGCGAUACGGGCAGACUUGAGUUCGGUAGGGGAGACUGGAAUUCCUGGUGUAGCGGUGAAAUGCGCAGAUAUCAGGAGGAACACCGGUGGCGAAGGCGGGUCUCUGGGCCGAUACUGACGCUGAGGAGCGAAAGCGUGGGGAGCGAACAGG
rnacentral:rRNA from 1 species